rnacentral:sRNA from 2 species
UCUUUCCAUUUUUCUUGCUUGAAUAUUUCUUUUUUCAAUAGAAUGAAUUUAUACCAUCUCUUUUGAUAUGAUAUUUAUUGCCGUAUUUGUCGUGUUAGAAUUGAGGGGAAUUUGAGUAUGGCAACGGCUGGCUUUUGCUAUGCCUUACUGUCCCUUGCAACCUCAAUCAACACCACAAACUUUUUCACUUCCCUUCAGGAGGUUAAUUCUCUCCGCUUCAUUUGGCUGAUAUUUCCAUGUAUAUCGGACAUCGUGCAUUGCACUGUCAUAUCUAAACUAUUCUAAUCAGAGGCCGACUUUGGCAGGUAAAAAGAUUCGAGACUGGUUUCUCAGGGAUCAGUGACAGCACAACACUGGUCUGUUGAUGACAAUAUUUAGCUUGGAAAUCAACAGCCCGUAUUCAUGAUUCUUUCGUCGAUUUCAAUUGGUGACUUCAUGGUCCAGCUUCGGUCUAGAUAUGCUUUGAAAGGCCUCAACAGGCAUUGCUUUUCAUCAUCUAUUAUCACAUCGCAGCACUCCUAUAUAACUACGUUAGCAGAAAGGAUCCAACUUGUGCUUUAGAACCACAUACCUCCAUUUUACGUAUGCUUGGCUGUGGUUAAGUUUACGGGAAUAUGGAUUUCAUAGCGGCCGAUGACAUCUGGAGUGGUGUGAGUGUUGAUGAAUAUCGACAAUUUCAUUCAUCCUCAGAGGUCCCUAUUCCGCUACCUCUUUUCUCCACUGAUUCGAUUCGCCGAACUUGCUCCGCUCCCACCUCACGACCUCUAUCCCCUCCACUAAGUCCUGAUCCAACUGUCCUAGUUUCUCUGCAUCCCGUUGGGAGCAGGCAGGCUUCAGUCGGGCUUUCCCUGCAUGAAUAUCGUAAAACCCUCUCCCGUCCGCAUCUGGAUGAGGCCUCUGUUUCCGGCCCGCGAAAGACAUUGAGAAGGAAGCCUAAAGCUUUGAACCUCAAUCUUGUUCGAUCCCCUAAAGCUCCACCUUCUCCCCCUCCCAGCCCUGCAUCAUCAAUAUCUCCAAUAUAUCCCCUAGACUCAGUAAGGUCAUCGCGAUCCUGCUUGCCAUUUGCAGGAAAAUCGGUUACCGGCCAAGAUGAAGGAAGUUUUCAUGAAUAUAUUCCCCACCACAUUCUAGGGGAGGCUACGUCAUUAUCACACAUCAUUCAUCCAUUCACUGCUGCUCUUAACACUUCAUCUCAGCAACCCCCCCCUCUGGCGAAUUCUUCUCCUUCACCUCCACCCCGCACUCCUGCUGCUAGUAUAGCGAGCGCAAGCACCGGAAUCAGGAAAUUGAACGCGUUCAGGCACCGCUUAAAACAGAUUCCCGUCAAGAUCAUGUCUCAUCACAAAAGUUCUUCGGAUUCUGCUCUAUUCCAACGGCCAGAUUGCUCAAACACUAAGCUUCGCCACAAGGGCGUUUCAUUUGAGAUACUCAACCCGCCUAAGUCACCUAGAUUUCCCGUAUCUUCCAAGCCUCUUGCAUUACAGAAGGGGCUCCCAGCCCCCGCCCCUUUUUUCGACCCAAUGUCUUCUCAAUUUUUCAACCAAGGCACCCCAGCCAGAGAAAUUCGUCGGGAACAGCAAACCACCCUGGAAUACGGGAGUCAAUCUGGGACAGAGAGAGAGGAGUGUCGACCCAUAUCUCCACGUGCUUUGUUCGAGGACCUUCCGACAGCCCAUUCAUCCAUUACUUCGCGCAUAACGAACCAAAGAAACAACCUCUUUCUCAUGUCUCCACACACAGAUCACUCCAUAAAUGAUCUGAAUAUGGAGGUUCCAUUGGACAUGACCGCUGACAGAUCCCCUGUCACUCGUCCCCCCAAUUGUUCUGGCCUGCUUACAUCCUAUUUCGGUGAGGGCUUCACCUCAGACCUUGUUGUUUCUAACGAAUGUAAUCCUGUUUUGACAUCAGUAGAAAAUAAAGCCAUUGAUCGUCCUUUCCAGGAGAUCGAAUCGACAUCCAUCCCUCUGCAAGAUGGCAUUGAGGAUCCAAGAACUACACUCGCGGAUCUGGUCGUUCGCGGCGCUUCAAUUGGCCAACUGUCAAGUUACUUCUCGGGCAAACCUUCGCGUUCUAGCUGUCAACCACAAGGAGAAGUCACCAAAAGGUACACUUCCAAACUCAUAAAACCUCGGCCUUCAGGUGUAAAACAUUUCUUCCAAUGGAAGAAACUUCGCGCGAGCGGCGCGUCCAGCCUACUCUCCAACCUUACAACCCGUCAAUUGAAUCCGCAAACGGCCCAUUCUCGGGUCAAAAAACGGAGUUCUUCCGAAGAGGU